GAAGAGGAGAGUGGAAUUCCACGUGUAGCGGUGAAAUGCGUAGAUAUGUGGAGGAACACCAGUGGCGAAGGCGACUCUCUGGUCUGUAACUGACGCUGAGGCGCGAAAGCGUGGGGAGCAAACAGGAGUAGAUACCCUGGUAGUCCACGCCGUAAACGAUGAGUGCUAAGUGUUAGGGGGUUUCCGCCCCUUAGUGCUGCAGCUAACGCAU
rnacentral:rRNA from 1 species